UACGGAAGGGGCAAGCGUUGUUCGGAUUCAUUGGGCGUAAAGGGUGCGUAGGCGGCGCGGUAAGUCGGGUGUGAAAACUCGGGGCUUAACCCCGGGCCUGCAGUGGGUACGGGCAGACUAGAGUGCGGUAGGGGAGACUGGAAUUCCUGGUGUGAGCGGUGAAAUGCGCAGAUAUCAGGAGGAACACCGGUGGCGAAGGCGGGUCUCUGGGCCGAUACUGACGCUGGAGGAG
rnacentral:rRNA from 1 species